GCUUACGGCCACACCGCCUGGUUCACGACGAUCUCGUUUGAUCUCGGAAGAUAAGAUAGGGUGGGCCUGGUUAGUACUUGGAUGGGAGACCGCCUGGGAAUACCAGGUGCUGUAAGCU
ensembl:rRNA 5S_rRNA 5S ribosomal RNA